rnacentral:rRNA from 1 species
GUGGGACACGGGAGUAUAACAUGGAUAACCUGCCUGUGUAACACGGGGACCACCUGUGAACGGGGGCGAUUACCCGGUAAGCUCUUUUUUUCCCAUGGGGAGAGAAGGAGAGGGGAAACCCCCUUACAGAUGGAUCCCCGGCCCAUUAUCUAGUUGGCGGUGUAACGGACCACCAAGGCGACAAUGGGUAUCCGGCCUGAGAGGGUGAUCGGCCACACUGGAACUGAGACACGGUCCACACUCCCACGGGAGGCAGCAGUGGGGAAUCUUCCCCUAUGGGCGAAAAUCUGACGGAGCAACGCCGCGUGAGAGAUGAAACCUUCGUG